ensembl:lncRNA
GUUUUCUGUACAUCCCAGGGGAACAAAAUCACAAUGGGAAAGAAGUUCUCCUUAUAAACUGUGACCGACUGCAGUCUCCCUCCAGCCCCGCUGGUAACGCCCUGUGGAUAUUUGCUUCUCAGAGAUUAGAAGAACAAAGCGAGAAGAGAGCAGCGUUCCAUUAUGGUUGCAGAACCAAGGUGAGGCAGGGGAGUUCUGCACAGACCUACAUCUUCAGCACACCUCCUCCAGAACUCCUGUGUGUACUUCUCAUGAUCCCAAAUGAGUUUCCUUAUCUUCAGCACUACCGUUUGGAGCUCAGAAUCAUUAAGGUUGGAAAAAAACACGAAGGUCAUCAAGUCAACCCAUCCUCACCGUGCCCACUAACCAUGUCUCUUAGCCACCUAAGGGCCACCUGUCCUGCACCAGCACAACGUGGGUAGGAUGAGCCCUGGAGAAACUUCCUGUUGCUUGGCACCAGCUCUGAAAUCUUCCCAUCGAUGAAGCCAUACAAUGAGCCACGCUUAAUGAAUCAGAAUGUUAAUCAUCACUCACAUCAAUUCAGCAGCCCUGCCUGGAUGAUAGCUGCCCCCCUCUACUACUCUGAAUUCCUCCCCCUCGUCAUCAUCACAUCUUCUGGCUCUCUCCUUCAUUAGUUUUUAUCUGAUGAUUGAAUACCACUGUUAGCCAAAAAUUAUCAGUGCUAGCAUGCAUGCACAGCACACUGCAAGGGAGCAUUGUAAAACACAAGGCAAUUCAUGCUACAAAGCUGUCACAAACUGAAGAAAUAUCUCCCUUGUUUUCUCUGAGGCUGAAUGAAUGAAGCCUCAGCCCUGCUGCUGUACAACACUAAGCUCCUGUGGAAAGAAAAGCAUAACAUCCAGGCACAAUGGAAGAAAAAGCAGAUUCUUCAUGAUUAACAUAGGCAAUUUAACUGGAAGAAUUAUAAAAUAUCCCAAGUUGGAAGAGACCGAAAGGAUUUCAAAUCCAGCUCCUGGCUCCACACAGGACACCCAAAAAUCAGACCAUCUGUCUGGGAAGAGGAACAUCAGCUCAUGGAACUGACAUUUUGGAGAAUGGUUUCUUCUCGCUGCGUUUUUAGAUGAGUUGCAGUCAGUUUGUGCUGUAUAAGCCAUAUUAGGAGUAGGUUCCCACAGUGAAGCCAUGUCCAGCCCUGCCAGGCAGAAGGGGAAGAUGCUUUCAGCUUCUUUGCCUUCUCUUCAUGACAUCCCACCCUGAAUGCAUCUUUAGGCAUCUCUAAUGAGAUCUAGAAUGAGUCAUUAAUUUCUAAUUAAUUAACCUUUGUCAUGGCCUGCAGCAUUCUUAAUGUUGUUUUGUAAGAGUAUCCACUGUCACUCCGUGAUGGGCAUCUCCAUCAAGCCAGAAAAUCCCCUAUGGAAAUACCCUAAGGAUGAACAGAGCCCCAUACCCAAAAUCUGUGCUCAAAAGUAGAUUGCUCUGAGCCUUGUUUUGCACACAAAAAUGGUAGGGGUGGUAUUUUAACGUGUUUUCUUCUCAUGAGUUGAUGUUCCCAACAAGCAUGGUUGGUUGCUCUGGAUGUGUGCCCCAAGGCAACUCAGCCUGCCCAUCACUUCUCACUGUUUCUAACAGUUUGAAUUUGGAGCACCUGGCAUCAGUCACCGCAGGUAGAAGUGUUUGACACUGGAGCCUCCGGGUGGGCUCAGACAUGGUUAUUAGGAAAGAUUACAGAAAUGAUGACGCCAUUUAUUUACUGUUGGUGAAUGGCGUUGGCCAAGCUGGAGCACUGAUCUGUCUGUCACCUUACGUGCUGGGUUCCUGCUGAGCACUGGUGGGGUGCAGAACUGGGAUUCCAAUGGACUUUUGGAGAAGGAUUGGGCUUCUCGGGCUGCCCAUGGAGCUGCUGCACCCAUUGCAUUGCUUUGGCUGCUCAGCCCAGAUGCUAAGCAGAAAGGAAUAUGUUCAGUGUCCCAGGCACUGACAGCUCGACAUAUACACAGCAUAGAUAGCUUGCAAACUAGAUAAAGGAGUGACAACAUCUUCUUGAGAGAAAACACAGGGUUUCCCCCUCUGCGAUGCUUCAUCUCUGCUGUCUUCUGAUUUUGAUCUCCCAGGGCACACCACUCACAGCUGCCUUCCCGCUGUCCUGGGGCUUGCAGAGCCUUUUGGAGCAGUGUGGAGCCGCCCUCCUGCACACUAUUUGCUUAUCAUGGUUCCUGAUGGACAGUGUGCUUUGUGGGGUGGGGGAGGACUUUGGUUCCCUGCUGUCAUUGCUGGAGUUGUUGGUUAGCUGUGCCCCAGGCCACCCCUUGCCCCUUUCUCUAAGCAGCUUUUUACGCUGCGCAGCUCAAAGAGGUUGUAAAAUGCCUUUUCUCUGGCUUAGAGAGAGGGAGAGAAGAAAAUGCUUCUGGAUCUAAACCAACUAUUCAAACUCUUGCUUUCUGGCAUCCAAAGAAGUCCCAAGGGUUUGUUUUGCAAAGGAGAAAGUGCUGGAGAUUGAAAAGAGGUUACCUGUAAACUGUAGAGGUUAAAUACAGAGAAAGGUGCACACAGGGUUUAGGGCACCUUAAGAAUAAUGUUAAUUAUUUAAGACUGAGAGCACUGAAGGAUACGUCAGACAAGAGUUGGGAUGGAUUUGCACUGCCGCUGUGCUGCCAUUGAUUCCCACUCCCGGCCCAUUCGUGCUGCCAUGAGGCAGUCAGGGCAGCUUGGAAACCUCUGGUCUUCUUCAGAAUGUUUUUCAGUGGCCACAAACUGGGGACUGUGCAGCCCCUCAGGGACAACCCUGCCUGUGCCCAGCUGCUGAAUGCACGAAGAGAUUGGUGGAUGGGCACCAAAUCCUGCACCAAUGGCCAAGCCCAACCAAUGCAGUUUGAAGGUCACAUGUGGGCAUCCUCAGUCCUAAAACAGCUGUUUGGGGUUGAUGCUCGCAAGGCUUAGCAUUUCCAAAAGUGCCGAUGUGAUGCUCUGUCUCAGUGUGCCAUUAGCCCAUCAAGCAGUGUGCCACCUUCCUGACGAGGCACCAAACAGAGAGCAGGAAAGUUACUUGGAAAAUGCAUCACCAAUCUCCCCAUGAAGCCACAACCACGUACCCACUGUGAGGCUGUUGGCUUCCCGCAGUCUUCCCAUGGAAAAUGUCCUCACCUCCUGCUGCAGUUGGGCGGCAUCUCCAGAGGUUCACGGCGGGAGCUGCUUGUGUUUGGCUGGAGCACUGGGAAGGAUUUUGAUUCCAGGUUUUGCUCUGAUUUGCACCAGUGGCCACGUCCUAGCAGAGCGGCACUGCCACGGGCAAACAGAGCCCACAGCAGGGAGAAGAUCAUUGAGAAAGGAACGGGCUCUGCUGUAGGCAGCUCUAGGUUAAUAAGUGAGCUAUUCAUCUGAUAGGGACACGGGAGAAGUUUGCAGGUAUUCAGCCCCGCUACAGUUCAGCAAUACCGCUUUGCUUUAUCUCUCACCCAAGUAACACAAACAUUUAUGGAAUUACGUUUUAAGGCUUUUAAAGGUGUAUUUAGAACGUGUUUUCUUUGAAGCGUUAUCUUUGCAAGCUCUCAUGCGCUGAUAAAGGCCGUGUUUGGCUGCCUCUCGAGGAGCACUCGUGAGCUGUUGGCUCGGGGAGGUUUCUCCUCAGGGGCUGCAGGACAGCAGCGGUGGCAAUGCGGUGGGUGACAGCCUCAGGGACAGAGCAGAGAACAGAUGGGAAACAAAGCCUUUGGUCUCAGCAUGAAAGUUGCCAUCAUCUCCUCCCUGGGAGAAGGGAAGGAGCGCGGCGAAGCGAAUGACCUCACUGCAGGAUGGUUCCACUUAGCAUCCCCGGCCCUCCUCCCGGCCCUGCCCAGCGAUGAAGACGUCGUCCCACAGCUCAUCACUCACAGCAGCGCAUACCCGCGCCUCGUCCCGCAGUCGGGGAUUUGACCCGGAGCUCCUCGAAAUCAAUGGAAAGGCUCCAGUGGAUUUCUGUGGGGUUUGGAGCUGAGCGAAUGUUGGCAAACUCCACCAGAGCUAAUGGGAACUUUGCUGGCAGUGCAAGCCGACGGGUCAGGCGGAGGGAGAAAAUUAAUUCGUCAAGAGGAAGAUUCAUCUUCUCCUGAAGUUUCCAAGGGGUUUCUUAAAGGAGCACUCACCACCACGCUUUCCUGCGAGGAGAGCAGCUCCGGAUUGGCAGUGAUGCUAUUGCAAAUAUCUCGGGCGGUGUGAAGUCUCCCCCCGCUUCCUUUGCCCUGGUUCUGUCCUUCAGCUCAGCUCCUCACCUCCACCCUCGCCUGGAGCCGAAAUCUCCGUGCUGGAGCCUGGCCCCUCUCGGCCUCCCCUGUGCUGUUGCUUUCAUUCAUUUUCUUCUCCCCAAAUUGCCAGGCACAACUUGUCUGAACGUAUGCCGAACCUGAUAAGCCUUUGGCAGCCUCAAGAAUAGAUUGCUUUCAUAAAAAUGAA